GACGAACGCUGGCGGCGUGCUUAACACAUGCAAGUCGAGCGGUAAGGCCCUUUCGGGGGUACACGAGCGGCGAACGGGUGAGUAACACGUGGGUGACCUGCCCUCAGCUCUGGGAUAAGCCUGGGAAACCGGGUCUAAUACCGGAUAUGACUCCAUGACGCAUGUUGUGGGGUGGAAAGCCUUGUGCGGCUGAGGAUGGGCCCGCGGCCUAUCAGCUUGUUGGUGGGGUGAUGGCCUACCAAGGCGACGACGGGUAGCCGGCCUGAGAGGGCGACCGGCCACACUGGGACUGAGACACGGCCCAGACUCCUACGGGAGGCAGCAGGUGGGGAAUCUUGCGCAAUGGGCGAAAGCCUGACGCAGCGACGCCGCGUGAGGAUGAC
rnacentral:rRNA from 1 species